UUCAAGGAUGCAGCCUUGAGAGAGUCAGGUGGUGUUGAGACCAUCUGAACUGAAUAUAGGACUGAACCCCUACAUGAACUUUUAAGAUUCUGGUGGCCCGGUGUGGCGCUCUACUCAUCUUGCCUCCGCCCAAGACAAGCCUCCACUGGAGUGAACACUGGGUUUUCUAGAGUUAUUGAAGGAUAACACGAAGGCCGUCAACCAUGUGGCAACUUUCUAAGAGAUUUUCAAAGCCUCAAGACUAAUUUAGAUGGAAAUCAGAUGGAAAGUCUGAUGCUGUGGAUUGUUUGUUGAAUUAUAAGGUAGGUCCAGACUUUUUCCUGGACUCCCUCCCGGCUCGCUGUGGUGCACUAGCCCCCUUCAGGCUGUGUUCACGCCGCCAACCCCAGUCCUCUCCCUGGGAUCCGACCUCCGAAGCCCGAGCCUCAGCUCCCAGUCCCC